rnacentral:lncRNA from 1 species
GCAGAAUAUUUUCAUUGGUGGGACGGACACAUCCUCGGCAACCGUGGAGUGGGCGAUGGCGGAGCUCAUCAGACAACCUGAGCUGAUGAAGAGAGCACAAGACGAGGUAAGACGAUGUGUCGGAAGCAAAGGGGAGGUGGAGGAGAGUGACCUUCACCAACUUCAUUUCUUGAAGUGUGUCAUCAAGGAGACGAUGAGGCUGCACCCUCCCGCUCCGCUGCUACUUCCUAGGGAAACCAUGCAGCACUUUAAGCUAAAUGGCUAUGAUAUUCUACCCAAAACAUGGAUGUAUGUGAAUGC